UGCUGUGAUGAUCUAAUUUGCGUCUUAUCCAGUGUUCAGUGACAGUUGCCUGCUGUCAGCAUGCUGGCGCUGUUGAACUGAAGACACUUGACCCUGAGCA
ensembl:snoRNA SNORD16 Small nucleolar RNA SNORD16